rnacentral:rRNA from 1 species
UACGUAGGUGGCGAGCGUUGUCCGGAUUUACUGGGCGUAAAGGGUGCGUAGGCGGCGCGGUAAGUCGGGUGUGAAAUCUCGGGGCUUAACUCCGAAACUGCAUUCGAUACUGCGGUGCUUGAGGACUGGAGAGGAGACUGGAAUUCAUGGUGUAGCAGUGAAAUGCGUAGAGAUCAUGAGGAAGACCAGUGGCGAAGGCGGGUCUCUGGACAGUUCCUGACACUGAGGCACGAAGGCCAGGGGAGCAAACGGG